GCCGGGCUGGCGCAAUUGGCAGCGCAUCAGACUUCUAAUCUGGGGGUUGGGGGUUCGAGCCCCCCGUCUGGCU
rnacentral:tRNA from 1 species